rnacentral:rRNA from 1 species
GACGAAGGAUGCAAGCGUUAUCCGGAUUCAUUGGGUUUAAAGGGAGCGUAGGCGGCCUUGUAAGUCAGUGGUGAAAUCUCGCAGCUUAACUGCGAAACUGCCAUUGAUACUGCUUGGCUAGAGUACAGAUGCUGUGGGCGGAAUAUGACAUGUAGUGGUGAAAUACAUAGAGAUGUCAUAGAACACCGAUUGCGAAGGCAGCUCACAAAACUGUAACUGACGCUGAGGCUCGAAAGUGUGGGGAUCAAACAGG